ensembl:lncRNA novel transcript
UGACUGGCUAUUCAACCAAACCAUACAAAUGACCAAUUCGGUAAGAAAGCAUGAACUUCAGUGUUGAACCAAAUCAACCAACCUCCUCAAUCCAAAUGGAGAUGCCUGUGAAAGAGGAUGGGCCAGGGUCAGCUUUCACCUUCAUAUCCUCCCAUGCAAAAAACGGAAGCAUGUUUGGGCUGAGAGGACAGGUUGCCAGUUGUCUGAACCAGUCAUUCCAACCAGGCUUCACACUUCUGCAAAGAAGAGAGGGCUAGAAUGCCCAGUAGGAGUGCAGACUGGAGGAUCGGCUGUUUUUUGAACUGGAGACAUCACAGGAAACUGGGGAGGCUCCAAAUUGCUAACCUGAGGCCGGAGCAAAAACUUUUUUUUUGUCGAAGGGACUGCUUUUUUUAUUUCCCCUUCAACGGAUGGCAUCCCAAGUCCUGCUGGAUUGCAUCUGUCUUUGUUCCUGCAGCCAAGCCUUA